rnacentral:tRNA from 1 species
GGGCGAAUAGCUCAGCUGGUUAGAGCAUCCGGCUUACAUCCGGAAGGUCACAGGUUCGAAUCCUGUUUCGCCCACCA